GGCGCUCUCUGUAACAUCCGUUAAAAUUGGAACGAUACAGAGAAGAUUAGCAUGGCCCGUGCGCAAGGAUAGCAAAACGCACAAAUCGAGAAAUGGUCAAAACGUGA